CUACGGGAUGCAGCAGUGAGGAAUAUUGCACAAUGGGGGGAACCCUGAUGCAGCAACGCCGCGUGGAGGAUGACGCAUUUCGGUGUGUAAACUCCUUUUAUAUGUCAAGAAAAUGACGGUAGCAUAUGAAUAAGCACCGGCUAACUCCGUGCCAGCAGCCGUGGUAAUACGGAGGGUGCAAGCGUUACUCGGAAUCACUGGGCGUAAAGGACGCGUAGGCGGGUUGGAAAGUCAGGUGUGAAAUCCUACAGCUUAACUGUAGAACUGCACUUGAAACUUCUAAUCUAGAGUAUGGGAGGGGGAGAUGGAAUUAGUGGUGUAGGGGUAAAAUCCGUAGAUAUCACUAGGAAUACCUAAAGCGAAGGCGAUCUCCUGGAACAUUACUGACGCUAAGGCGUGAAAGCGUGGGGAGCAAACAGGAUUAGAUACCCGUGUAGUC
rnacentral:rRNA from 1 species